UUUGACGAACGCUGGCGGCGUGCCUAAUACAUGCAAGUAGAACGCUGAAGAGAGGAGCUUGCUCUUCUUGGAUGAGUUGCGAACGGGUGAGUAACGCGUAGGUAACCUGCCUUGUAGCGGGGGAUAACUAUUGGAAACGAUAGCUAAUACCGCAUAACAAUGGAUGACACAUGUCAUUUAUUUGAAAGGGGCAAACGCUCCACUACAAGAUGGACCUGCGUUGUAUUAGCUAGUAGGUGAGGUAACGGCUCACCUAGGCGACGAUACAUAGCCGACCUGAGAGGGUGAUCGGCCACACUGGGACUGAGACACGGCCCAGACUCCUACGGGAGGCAGCAGUAGGGAAUCUUCGGCAAUGGGGGCAACCCUGACCGAGCAACGCCGCGUGAGUGAAGAAGGUUUUCGGAUCGUAAAGCUCUGUUGUAAGUCAAGAACGAGUGUGAGAGUGGAAAGUCCACACUGUGACGGUAGCUUACCAGAAAGGGACGGCUAACUACGUGCCAGCAGCCGCGGUAAUACGUAGGUCCCGAGCGUUGUCCGGAUUUAUUGGGCGUAAAGCGAGCGCAGGCGGUUUGAUAAGUCUGAAGUUAAAGGCUGUGGCUCAACCAUAGUUCGCUUUGGAAACUGUCAAACUUGAGUGCAGAAGGGGAGAGUGGAAUUCCAUGUGUAGCGGUGAAAUGCGUAGAUAUAUGGAGGAACACCGGUGGCGAAAGCGGCUCUCUGGUCUGUAACUGACGCUGAGGCUCGAAAGCGUGGGGAGCGAACAGGAUUAGAUACCCUGGUAGUCCACGCCGUAAACGAUGAGUGCUAGGUGUUGGAUCCUUUCCGGGAUUCAGUGCCGCAGCUAACGCAUUAAGCACUCCGCCUGGGGAGUACGACCGCAAGGUUGAAACUCAAAGGAAUUGACGGGGGCCCGCACAAGCGGUGGAGCAUGUGGUUUAAUUCGAAGCAACGCGAAGAACCUUACCAGGUCUUGACAUCCCGAUGCUAUUUCUAGAGGUAGAAAGUUACUUCGGUACAUCGGUGACAGGUGGUGCAUGGUUGUCGU
rnacentral:rRNA from 1 species